AUCAACCCAAGACUAGCAAUACGAAAACUGCAGUUGUAAUUCAACUAUAAAAACC
rnacentral:tRNA from 1 species